rnacentral:rRNA from 1 species
UUGGAGGGCAAGUCUGGUGCCAGCAGCCGCGGUAAUUCCAGCUCCAAUAGCGUAUAUUAAAGUUGUUGCAGUUAAAAAGCUCGUAGUUGAAUUUCGGGGUUAGUAGGUUGGUCAUGCCUCUGGUAUGUACUGGUCUCACUGAUUCCUCCUUCCUGAUGAGCCGUAAUGCCAUUAAUUUGGUGUUGCGGGGAAUUUGGACUGUUACUUUGAAAAAAUUAGAGUGUUUAAAGCAAGCUAACGCUUGAAUACAUUAGCAUGGAAUAAUGAAAUAGGACGUUCGAUCCUAUUUUGUUGGUUUCUAGGAUUGACGUAAUGAUUAAUAGGGAUAGUUGGGGGCAUUAGUAUUCAAUUGUCAGAGGUGAAAUUCUUGGAUUUAUUGAAGACUAACUACUGCGAAAGCAUUUGCCAAGGAUGUUUUCAUUAAUCAAGAACGAAAGUUAGGGGAUCGAAGACGAUCAGAUACCGUCGUAGUCUUAACCAUAAACUAUGCCGACUAGGGAUCGGAUGAUGUUAAUUCUUUAAUGACUCAUUCGGCGCCUUACGGGAAAC